rnacentral:miRNA from 1 species
AAGACAGAAAGUAAGGGUUGGC